GAUAUCAACUGAAAAAGUCAUCAACAACAAAGUUGAAUAACUCAUCAAUAUCUAAAACUUUUAUUUUGGUCAUUUCUUCAUACGACAAAGUGAUAGUAACAUUGUUCACAAAAUUGACAUAUCUCUUAUCUGGUUUUAUAAACUAUAACACAUAUAUGUAAAAUUUAUGAAUAAUAUUACUAACAUUUUGUCGGAUGAAGAAAUAACAAAAGUAAAAAUUUUAGAUCUUGAUGAGUUAUUCAACUUUGUUGUUGAUGACCUUUUCAAUUGAAAUC
rnacentral:pre_miRNA from 1 species